rnacentral:rRNA from 1 species
GAUGAACGCUAGCGGGGGGCCUAACACAUGCAAGCCGAGCGGUAUUGUUUCUUCGGAAAUGAGAGAGCGGCGUACGGGUGCGGAACACGUGUGCAACCUGCCUUUAUCUAGAGGAUAGCCUUUCGAAAGGAAGAUUAAUACUCUAUAAUAUAUUAAUUGGCAUCAAUUGAUAUUGAAAACUUCGGUGGAUAGAGAUGGGCACGCGCAAGAUUAGCUAGUUGGUGAGGUAACGGCUCACCAAGGCAAUGAUCGUUAGGGGGCCUGAGAGGGUGAUCCCCCACACUGGUACUGAGACACGGACCAGACUCCUACGGGAGGCAGCAGUGAGGAAUAUUGGUCAAUGGGUGCAAGCCUGAACCAGCCAUCCCGCGUGAAGGAUUAAGGUCCUAUGGAUUGUAAACUUCUUUUGUAUAGGGAUAAACCUACCCUCGUGAGGGUAGCUGAAGGUACUAUACGAAUAAGCACCGGCUAACUCCGUGCCAGCAGCCGCCGUAAUAC